CUCGGACCACAAUUCCUCCCUCUUUCAUCUGCGCCCUAUCAGAGACCUGACAGCACUAACUUCAGAUGCAAUGACAUCAGAACUUCUGGGAAGCACCUUUCUUUUUCAGGAUUGAAUAUUUGCUUCUCUCUGUGAGGAAUUCUGAAAUGCGCUGGAGACACACACGCAGAGCAACAAAGCAUGUGAAAAACAAGAUCUUCUAUCAUAUCGGGCAAAGCUUCCACUCUCAUUGUGGAUCAGAAUGGACACAAUCCUUCCCUGAUACUUAACAUAACCCACCUCAGUGCAUUAAAGGAUGGUUCAAAACCAGGGUGUUGACGGCCCUGACCACCCCCCUGCCAUGUGCCGAUUGGGACCUUGACUCAGAUGAUUCCCGGAUCAAGAGACAUCUGAUCUUCACUUUCCCCAAGGGUGGGCCAGAAGGGAGCUCAUUUUGUAUCCAUCGAGGAGGAGUAAACUCUUGCCACCCAGCUGCAACGCCCAGAGAUUCAGGACAGGAGGGUAGAUGGUUGCCGAGUGCCCUGGACCUGGAAAGGCCACGCUUCUGCAGCCUGCUUCCCAGAGUGGGCCCCGCUGGAGGACACCACCCAGGACCUUGGGACACUGGAGGCAGCGAGGCCCAUGGCAGGCGGCGGCUGGGCACAGGGGCUGCAGGAGCUGGAGGAGAGGACCCUCUCAGGAGGGCCUGGCCCCUCCAGAUCCCAGCAGGGUCCACCCUCUGCCCGGCAUGGGGCUCCACAUGAUUCCAUGAAGGCUGGAGGCUGUGACCAGGGGUUGGCACCCUGCCUUCUGGAAGGGCGCAGGUGGAGAGGCCAAGAGUACCUCUGACAGCCUCCUCAUGUGUGCCAGGGCCCAGCCAAUCCCCAGCCCCCGGGUUGUAACUUCAGCCAUUCCCUCCCUCAAGACAGGUCAUUGCAUAGAGGUAAGAGUGGCAUAGUAGAGGAAUAAUCUGAACUCUUCACUCACCCACCCAAUCAUGUAUCUCUUCAGAAGUUCACUAUCAGGGUGAAAGAUUAUAUGCACCUGGCCCACCCAGGACACGCUGACUGCCCAAGUGCACGGGAGACCUGCCCCCUUUCCCUACACCCAGCGACAGGUAAAAAGGUGGGCAAGUGCUGGAGGAGUGAGAAUGGGGUAGGGAGGAAAGAGGAGAAGCUGAGAGGAGGAAGGGGAGAGGCACAGGGAGCAAGACAACACAAAUCCAAGCCUGAGUUUCACCUCAAGCAGGGCUCAGAAAUGUGUGUCUGCAGAAUUGGGACGAGUCACGUAGGGACUAAGCAACAGGAUGAAGCAUCAGUCACAACCUCCCUGGGCAUUGCCUGGUGAUGUGUAACAGACCUCUGCCAGGGUGCUGGCAUUCCCAUGGUGGAGGGAGGCAGAGGGGUCUGGGGAGGGCCGCCAACCCCAGACACCCGG
rnacentral:lncRNA from 1 species